UACUCCUACGGGAGGCAGCAGUGGGGAAUAUUGCACAAUGGGCGCAAGCCUGAUGCAGCCAUGCCGCGUGUAUGAAGAAGGCCUUCGGGUUGUAAAGUACUUUCAGCGAGGAGGAAGGCGUUGUGGUUAAUAACCGCAGCGAUUGACGUUACUCGCAGAAGAAGCACCGGCUAACUCCGUGCCAGCAGCCGCGGUAAU
rnacentral:rRNA from 1 species